rnacentral:rRNA from 1 species
ACAUCCAGCGAACUUGGCAGAGAUGCCUUGGUGCCUUCGGGAACGCUGAGACAGGUGCUGCAUGGCUGUCGUCAGCUCGUGUUGUGAAAUGUUGGGUUAAGUCCCGCAACGAGCGCAACCCUUAUCCUUUGUUGCCAGCGAUUCGGUCGGGAACUCAAAGGAGACUGCCGGUGAUAAACCGGAGGAAGGUGGGGAUGACGUCAAGUCAUCAUGGCCCUUACGAGUAGGGCUACACACGUGCUACAAUGGCGCAUACAAAGAGAAGCGACCUCGCGAGAGCAAGCGGACCUCAUAAAGUGCGUCGUAGUCCGGAUCGGAGUCUGCAACUCGACUCCGUGAAGCCGGAAUCGCUAGUAAUCGUGGAUCAGAAUGCCACGGUGAAUACGUUCCCGGGCCUUGUACACACCGCCCGUCACACCAUGGGAGUGGGUUGCAAAAGAAGUAGGUAGCUUAACCUUCGGGAGGGCGCUUACCACUUUGUGAUUCAUGACUGGGGUGAAGUCGUAACAAGGUAAGCGUAGCGAG